rnacentral:rRNA from 1 species
CAGUCGCCGCGGGAAUACGAAGGGUGCAAGCGUUACUCGGAAUUACUGGGCGUAAAGCGUGCGUAGGUGGUGGUUUAAGUCCGUUGUGAAAGCCCUGGGCUCAACCUGGGAAUUGCAGUGGAUACUGGGUCACUAGAGUGUGGUAGAGGAUAGUGGAAUUUCCGGUGUGGCAGUGAAAUGCGUAGAGAUCGGAAGGAACAUCUGUGGCGAAGGCGACUAUCUGGGCCAACACUGACACUGAGGCACGAAAGCGUGGGGAGCAAACAGGAUUAGAUACCCCCGUAGUCCCUGUCUCUUAUAC